CAGUAGCCACGGUAAUACGGAGGGUGCAAGCGUUAAUCGGAAUUACUGGGCGUAAAGCGCACGCAGGCGGUCUGUCAAGUCGGAUGUGAAAUCCCCGGGCUCAACCUGGGAACUGCAUUCGAAACUGGCAGGCUAGAGUCUUGUAGAGGGGGGUAGAAUUCCAGGUGUAGCGGUGAAAUGCGUAGAGAUCUGGAGGAAUACCGGUGGCGAAGGCGGCCCCCUGGACAAAGACUGACGCUCAGGUGCGAAAGCGUGGGGAGCAAACAGGAUUAGAGACCCCUGUAGUCCCUGUCUCUUAUAA
rnacentral:rRNA from 1 species